CAUGAGAGAGGAGAAGAGGGGGAGAGAGAGCAAGAGAAUAGUCAUGUGAAGAAGAGAGAAACAAAAUCCACAUAAUUACAAUGACAGUGAUGAUUCUGAUACCGACGAAAGAGGUGCAGAAGAAGAGGAUGAAAAUUUUAUCCCCAACUGUAAAACCAUACACGGCGGUUGUGCCCGAAAGGGGUGGUGGUUCUGGGGGAAAAUCCUGGACUGUAGGGCCACAUGGGUUCAAGAAUGGGACAGAAUUUUCCUCUUAGUAUGCGCUGCUGGUCUAUUUGUAGAUCCUCUCUUCUUCCAUACACUCUCAAUAAGUGAAAACUGCAUGUGCCUCUUCGUCGACGGGUGAUUCGCCAUAACCUUGACGAUUCUCCGGUGCAUGACAGAUACCUUGCACCUCUGGAACAUGUGGCUUCAUUUCAAAAUUAACCGUAUAAUAAAAUUCAUUCAUGCCAAUAAAAUUAUAUCCAUUUCUUUUCUUCUUGAAGCUUGCUAUACCUAAAGUUCACUGGUAAAUAUUCUUUACUCAAAUUUGUACUCUACUUCUAUUUUGUAGAUUCAUUUGUUUAUUUGCAUUUCUA
rnacentral:lncRNA from 1 species